rnacentral:rRNA from 1 species
UACGUAGGGUGCGAGCGUUAAUCGGAUUUACUGGGCGUAAAGCGUGCGCAGGCGGCCCGUUAAGACAGGUGUGAAAUCCCUGGGCUCAACCUAGGAAUUGAGCUUGUGACUGGCGGGCUCGAGUACGGUAGAGGGGGGUGGAAUUCCUGGUGUAGCAGUGAAAUGCGUAGAGAUCAGGAGGAACACCGAUGGCGAAGGCAGCCCCCUGGGCCUGUACUGACGCUCAUGCACGAAAGCGUGGGGAGCAAACAGG